UACGAAGGGGGGCUAGCGUUGUUCGGAAUUACUGGGCGUAAAGCGCACGUAGGCGGAUUUGUAAGUCAGGGGGUGAAAUCCCGGGGGCUCAACCUCGGAACUGCCUUUGAUACUGCAAGUCUUGAGUCCGGAAGAGGUGAGUGGAAUUCCUAGUGUAGAGGUGAAAUUCGUAGAUAUUAGGAAGAACACCAGUGGCGAAGGCGGCUCACUGGUCCGGUACUGACGCUGAGGUGCGAAAGCGUGGGGAGCAAACAGG
rnacentral:rRNA from 1 species